ensembl:lncRNA
GGGUGUCAUAUGUGUACGGGUGUCAAUUUCUGCCAGGGUAUGCAAACUUAAAAGCACAAGUGUACUAGUCUUAUGCCAUAUUUACUAUAGAUAGUAUGCGAUCUGAGAUUCAGCCACGAUCUUGUCAGUGGCGGCCUGAUAAUGAUGGGAAGUUCGGCUCACCUGGCUUAGUAGCUAGCUAACGUUACUACAGGCUGGAGAUUUUUUUCAGAUCGGUUUUUCUUUGCUUUUUAGUCCAAAAUCUUAGUUCCCCCUUUUCAUUAAUACUAAUUAAAAAGUACAACUAAUACAUUUAGCGGCUGAAAAUUAUUACCCCACUACUUUUGGUUUGGACUCUGGUCUAAGCCCUGGCUGAAUGUAUGUAUUCCUACUCUGGACUGUUUUAAAAGCAUUUCUCUGCUUCUGGUUUUUAGCUAUUUGAAAUGUAGCGCGUUAGGCUAGCUAAGCUAGAACUACAUAGAGUAGCAGUACAUAAAUAGCAUGUGCUCAGGCAGUGGGCAAAGGGUGGAAGUAGGCCUGUUCAGAUUAGAGACAAAAUGUGUUUCGAAUGUUGCAGAGAAAAUUACAGUGGUGAACUGAGAUCUCGCGUAGGGCCAGUUAGGCCAGAAACGCCACUGCCUGUGGAACCCAGGUUCGUUACUUGACCGUAAACACUUAAUUACAGCCAAUAUUCACUCCCAAGACCAAUGGGAUUAUGAGUAUGGACUCCCAAGACCAAUAGGAUGAUGAGUAUGGACUCCCAAGACCAAUGGGAUGGUGAGUAUGGACUCCAGGGUCAAUUGGCCUAAGCUUGAUCCUGCCGGGAUACAUUUCCCCUGGAGUCCCGCAGAGGUAGGUUAAAUGUGUUCUUCCAACCGAUCUGUACAGUAUUGGGGGAGGACAUUGUGUAAAAUGUUAUGUUACUACGUGCCAUUGUUCCCUCCAAGUUUUACAGCUUUCCCAGACAGGUGUUUGGCCUAGUAAGUGGUACCUAGGGAAAUUCUAGGGUCACCUCCGUGCCCAUGGGAUGACCUUGAACUAGGUCAGUUUAGAGGUUGGAGAGCCACACUGGUCUGGACCACCACCCUGGAUCUAGUUUCAGACGUUGUCAAACCAUCCGUUGACAGUCGCUGAAUCAUCAGACUUGCAGAUGAGUGGUGUCAGGAACAGAGGGCAAAGGAGAAGCAGUAGGGAUGAGUCGAUGUAAUGAGUAAUCCGAGGCCUGUCAACACCAUUGUAUGGUGGGGACAUCAGCCCUUGAACUGCAUCUCAGGACUACCUGGCUGAACUACUCCUAGUUGUCCAAAGUCCACCUGACAACUGCUGCUGUCACUGCCCACAGCCCACCUGAUCGUCUCUCAUCUGGAUUCUGCAUAGAUUCUGCCAGAAGAGGACUGGCCACCCCUCAGAGCCUGGCUCCUCUCUAGGUUUCUUCCUAAGAUACAAGACUACCAGGGAGUUUUUCCUAGCCACUGUUACUUGCUCUUUGGGGUUUUAGGAUGGAUACCUGCAUAAGCACUUUGUGACAUAUACUAAUGUCUGGGGCUUCAUAAAAUCGAUUUGAGUAAAUAAAUGCAAACAAACGGCUCCAUCCUUGUCCUC